GCCACAGUAUGUGUAUAUAGCCCAAGUCUUUCUCUGUAUCUCCUGUAUAAAACAGUACUACUCUACAAUACAUGUCUGUCUGUCCUCUUCUCUAUGGGGGGGCUGACAGCUUUCAAUCACCUGGCAGUGUGCAUACCUCAGUGGGACUGUGUGUGUGUGUGCAUCUGGCAAUGUGCAUACCUCAGUGGGACUGUGUGUGCAUCUGGCAAUGUGCAUACCUCAGUGGGACUGUGUGCAUCUGGCAGUGUGCAUACCUCAGUGGGACUGUGUGUGUAUCGGGCAGUGUGCAUACCUCAGUGGGACUGUGUGUGCAUCUGGCAGUGUGCAUACCUCAGUGGGACUGUGUGUACAUCUGGCAGUGUGCAUACCUCAGUGGGACUGUGUGUGCAUCUGGCAGUGUGCAUACCUCAGUGGGACUGUGUGUGCAUCUGGCAGUGUGCAUACCUCAGUGGGACUGUGUGUACAUCUGGCAGUGUGCAUACCUCAGUGGGACUGUGUGUGCAUCUGGCAGUGUGCAUACCUCAGUGGGACUGUGUGUGUGUGUGCAUCUGUGAACCUCUGAGGGCCAAAUACUGUGUAUGCCAUAGUCUUGCAGCCAUCCAGAUGUAGAUUUUACACACACACACACGCAGAUUUACACACAGACACAUGCAGACACACAGACAGACACAGGAAUGGCUGAAUAGGGACGUCAGUGCAGAGAGAGAGAGGUGUUAGGUUGUUGACUCACGUCAGGCUGGUUUGAACUUUCCUUUAAAUGAUUUCUGAUUGUGACCCAGAAUGCAGCUUUAUGUUUCACAGUUUUAGAACCAGUUGUGCUGCAGGCUGGAGUCAUGACAUGUUUAACUGAAUGACAUGAACGCACAGCUGGGAGAUGUUUUAAAAAAGAGAGAGGGGGAAGAGGUGAAACAAUUUGUUCACUCAAUUGUAAUUUCAGGGUUUUGUUUUUUCAUGCAGUACAAUGUUCCUUGUCUGUUAUAACCAUGCAUUUCCUCAGCUGUGACCUGCAUGUGGGGCUGGGGGGUAUUCUUAAUAGCCUUUACAAGCCAGGGGGAAGUGAUGUUGUUUUAGAGAUACCUGUCACCUUUCAUGGUGUCUUUUAAUUGUUUUUAAACCAAAUGAAUGGGUUUAGUUUUUGUUGAAACGACUUUGUAGCACCUUUUUUAAGCCAUUGUGUUACUUACUUGAUGUUCAAUGUGCCAAAUACCUGUUGCUGUUUGGCUGACUGUUCUGGACCAAUGAGAAUUCUCCUCUCUCAACUUUGACCCCCCUCACAGCACCAGCCUUUGGCCACACACUCACUCAACCCCUGAAUCUGAGGAAUGUGUCUUUUAAAGGUGCUGGGGAGCAGAGGUGUCUGUGUUUGUCCUAGCAUGGAGUGAAUCUGGCUUUUGGCACCUUCACCUGUCACACACACGGCUUGUUUGUAAUGGGUUCAGUUGGUGUGUGUGUGUGCGUGCUGCAUUCAAUCGCUUGUCAGUAUGUUUAUUUAGUGGAGAUGUUUUUGUCAAACAAACCCACACACACACACGCACUAGAUAAUGAAAAAGGAUGGCAUAUAAAUAAGGAUAAAAACUAACAAAUUCAAGUAUAUAUAUGAAUAUAUGUGUAUAUGAAAUGACAAAAGCUGUAGGAUUAUUUAAAAAGAUUAACGAUGUAGAUUUAUGUUCAGAUGGGCUGGGGAGGGUUGGGAUUUUGAUGUAUAUCAAUCUGUUUGUGGUGAAGACAUUGGCUCGGAUCUUGCACAUAAAGACUUUAGCUAUUGAACCUGCGAGUUACCAGAUGAUUAUUUUUGUUUGAAUACCGGACUCUUGCUCUUUCAUAUUUAUUGUGUUUUGGGGAAAUGGCGCCUCCUGUUUGCGAGCUCACACCAGACAUCUCGCUGUAGAAAACUGGUCCACACACAUCACUCUUUUACAUGUACCACAAACAAACACAAAUACUACUGGCUUUGGGUUACUCUUACGAUUGAGGUUAUGACGACAAUGAUCAUUAUUAUUGAUAAUAUUAUUCAAUAAUUGUUAAAAAUUAUUUUGUUUGAAUGAAUUUUGUUUUGUUUCCAAGACAGGUAGAGCAUAUGUGUUGGACUGCUUAUAUAAAACAGUUCAGAAAUAAAUAAAAACAUUUUUUUUUCGUGUUGCUUUGUCUAAAGUGUGAUUUGUUGAGCCACUACAGUACACUACAUACAGUUGAAGUUGGAACUUUACAUACACCUUAGCCAAAUACAUUUAAACUCAGUUUUUUACAAUUCCUCACAUUCAAACCUAGUAAACAUUCCCUGUUUUAGUUCAGUCAGGAUCACCAUUUUAAGAAUGUGAAAUGUCAGAAUAAUAAUAGAAUGAUUUAUUUCAGCUUUUAUUGGUUUCAUCACAUUCCCAGUGGGUCAGAAGUUUACAUACACUCAAUUAGUAUUUGGUAGCAUUGCCUUUAAAUUGUUUAACUUGGGUCAAAUGUUUCAGGUAGCCUUCCACAAGCUUCCCACAAUAAAUUGGGUGAAUUUUGGCCAAUUUCUCCUGACAGAGCUGGUGUAACUGAGUCAGGUUUGUAGGCCACUUUGCUCACACACUUUUUCAGUUCUGCCCACACAUUUUCUAUGGGAUUGAGGUCAGGGCUUUGUGAUGGCCACUCCAAUACCUUUACUUUGUUGUCCUUAAGCCAUUUUGCCACAACUUUGGAAGUAUGCUUCAUUGUCCAUUUGGAAGACCCAUUUGCGACCAAGCUUUAACUUCCUGACUGAUGUCUUGAUGUUGCUUCAAUAUAUCCACACAAUUUUCCAUCCUCAUGAAGACAUCUAUUUUGUGAAGUGCACCAGUCCCUCCUGCAGCAAAGCACCUCUACAACAUGAUGCUGCCACCCCUGUGCUUCACGGUUGGGAUGGGGGUGUUCGGCUUGCAAGCCUCCCCCUUUUUCCUCCAAACGAUGGUCAUUAUGGCCAAACAGUUCUGUUUUUGUUUCAUCAGACCAGAGGACAUUUCUCCAAAAAGUACAAUCUUUGUCCCCAUGUGCGGUUGAAAACCGUAGUCUGGCUUUUUUAUGGCGGUUUUGGAGCAGUGGCUUCUUCCUUGUUGAGCGACCUUUCAGGUUAUGUUGAUAUAGGACUAGUUUUACUGUGGAUAUAGAUACUUUUGUACCAGUUUCAUCCAGCAUCACAAGGUCCUUUGCUGUUGUUCUGGGAUUGAUUUGCACUUUUCACGCCAAAGUACGUUAAGCUUUAGGAGACAGAACGCGUCUCCUUCCUGAGCGGUAUGACGGCUGCGUGGUCCCAUGGUGUUUAUACUUGCGUACUAUUGUUUGUACAGAUGAACGUGGUACCUUCAGGCGUUUGGAAAUUGCUCCCAGGAUGAACCAGACUUGUGAAGGUCUACCAUUUGUUUUCUGAGGUCUUGACUGAUUUCUUUUGAUUUUCCCAUGAUGUCAAGCAAAGAGGCACUGAGUUUGAAAGUAGGCCUUGAUAUACAUCCACAGGUGAUGGAUUGACUCAAAUGAUGUCAAUUAGCCUAUCAGAAGCUUCUAAAGCAUGACCUAUUUUCUGGAAUUUUCCAAGCUGUUUAAAGGCACAGUCAACUUAGUGAAUGUAAACUUCUGACCCACUGGAAUUGUGAUACAGUGAAUUAUAAAUGAAAUAAUCUGUCUGUAAACAAUUGUUGGAAAAAUUGUGUCAUGCACAAAGUAGAUGUCCUAACCGACUUGCCAAAAGUAUAGUUUGUUAACAAGAAAUUUGUGGAGUGGUUGAAAAACAAGUUUUAAUGACUCCAACCUAAGUGUAUGUAAACUUCCGAAUUCAACUGUAUUAUAUAACGAUAUCAAGGGAACGUUAAGAAUUGCUAUGAGUUAAAAGUAUUACGUGUAACAAUUCAACAACGAAUGAAAUUGCCUGUGGCCACCAAAUCUCUUGUCAGAUUGACUGGUUCGUUGUUGAAUUGACAAGAUUU
rnacentral:lncRNA from 8 species